UACGUAGGGCGCGAGCGUUGUCCGGAUUUAUUGGGCGUAAAGAGCUCGUAGGCGGCUUGUCGCGUCGACUGUGAAAACUCGGGGCUCAACUCCGAGAUUGCAGUCGAUACGGGCAGGCUAGAGUUCGGUAGGGGAGACUGGAAUUCCUGGUGUAGCGGUGAAAUGCGCAGAUAUCAGGAGGAACACCGAUGGCGAAGGCAGGUCUCUGGGCCGAUACUGACGCUGAGGAGCGAAAGCGUGGGGAGCGAACAGG
rnacentral:rRNA from 1 species